rnacentral:rRNA from 1 species
UACGUAGGGGGCAAGCGUUGUCCGGAUUUAUUGGGCGUAAAGAGCGUGUAGGCGGCCAGACAGGUCCGUUGUGAAAACUCGAGGCUCAACCUCGAGAUGUCGAUGGAAACCGUCUGGCUAGAGUCCGGAAGAGGAGUGUGGAAUUCCUGGUGUAGCGGUGAGAUGCGCAGAUAUCAAGAGGAACACCUGAGGCGAAGGCGGGUUGCUAGGUUGACACUGACGCUGAGUGCGCGAAAGCCAGGGGAGCAAACGGG